CAGUCGAGCGAAUGGAUUAAGAGCUUGCUCUUAUGAAGUUAGCGGCGGACGGGUGAGUAACACGUGGGUAACCUGCCCAUAAGACUGGGAUAACUCCGGGAAACCGGGGCUAAUACCGGAUAACAUUUUGAACUGCAUGGUUCGAAAUUGAAAGGCGGCUUCGGCUGUCACUUAUGGAUGGACCCGCGUCGCAUUAGCUAGUUGGUGAGGUAACGGCUCACCAAGGCAACGAUGCGUAGCCGACCUGAGAGGGUGAUCGGCCACACUGGGACUGAGACACGGCCCAGACUCCUACGGGAGGCAGCAGUUGGGAAUCUUCCGCAAUGGACGAAAGUCUGACGGAGCCAUAUUAAAAAGUCUAUUGAAGGCUUUCGGGUCGUAAAACUCUGUUGUUAGGGAAGAACAAGUGCUAGUUGAAUAAGCUGGCACCUUGACGGUACCUAACCAGAAAGCCACGGCUAACUACGUGCCAGCAGCCGCGGUAAUACGUAGGUGGCAAGCGUUAUCCGGAAUUAUUGGGCGUAAAGCGCGCGCAGUUGUUUUCUUAAGUCUGAUGUGACAGCCCACGGCUCAACCGUGGAGGGUCAUUGGAAACUGGGAGACUUGAAGUGCAGAAGAGGAAAGUGGAAUUCCAUGUGUAGCGGUGAAAUGCG
rnacentral:rRNA from 2 species